AUUAAACGCUGGCGGCAUGCCUUACACAUGCAAGUCGAACGGCAGCACGGGGCAACCUGGUGGCGAGUGGCGAACGGGUGAGUAAAGCAUCGGAACGUGCCCUGGAGUGGGGGAUAACGUAGCGAAAGUUACGCUAAUACCGCAUAUUCUGUGAGCAGGAAAGCAGGGGAUCGCAAGACCUUGCGCUCUGGGAGCGGCCGAUGUCGGAUUAGCUAGUUGGUGGGGUAAAGGCUCACCAAGGCGACGAUCUGUAGCGGGUCUGAGAGGAUGAUCCGCCACACUGGGACUGAGACACGGCCCAGACUCCUACGGGAGGCAGCAGUGGGGAAUUUUGGACAAUGGGCGCAAGCCUGAUCCAGCCAUGCCGCGUGCGGGACGAAGGCCUCGG
rnacentral:rRNA from 1 species